AUGACUCACGGCGGUUGGCAGGGCUCUGACGAGGCUGGCCCCGGCCCGCGCUCCAGCCCGCAGCAGAUGCCUGCCCGGCCCUCCCUUCCCUCGCCGGCCAAACCCGCCCGGAGCCCCGGGGCUGCGGGAGCGCCCUCCGCCUCCGCGGGACCCGAGCGGCCGGGACUCGGCCCGCGCCUCCCGCCCGGCCCGCACCACCCUCGGCUCGCGCGGCCGCCUCUCCCCCCUCCUCCUCCCGCCCCCCGCCGCCUCUGCGGUCCCGGCCGGGCACACUCCGGAAAGUUGCUAGGGCCGCGGAGGCGGGAGGGGAGGAAGGGAGGAGAGAGGCGGAGGCGUGGACCAAGCGGGCAGCAACCGGGCCCGCCAGGGAGCGAGGAGCGUGUGAAACCCGUCAAUCCUGUUUGCCAUUUCCCCGUGGAUUUCCGAGGAGAGGUUCUGCACGAUGCCCCCAGGCAAACGGAGAUGAGAAACAGCUGUGUUUGCAGGACCCGAGCAGUUCUUCUCCCCUCGCCGCCCGCCCCCGCCCGUUCCCCGCCGGAGCUGUGUGUGUGUAGUGUAUCAAAAAAGCAACCUUGGUCGGACUGCAACUGGAAUUGGCAACUCUUUCUGGGUGGGUGA
rnacentral:lncRNA from 1 species